AUGAUCAGCCCCAACAUACUCAAGAAGGCGGUCUGUGAGCAGAACUCGGUCCCAUUACAGGAGAAGAAGAAGGCACGCAAAAGAAAGACUAACAAGGGUGCGGGCCAGCCGGCACCGAGUACGAUCCAUGCUCAGGACGGGCCACCUUCACCUGAGGAUAUCUCGAGGAGGGUGCAUGUGGCGGGUAGGCCGAUGCUACCGAGAAAUAUGCUCGAUGCUGCAACCGGUGCUAUGCGGAGUCUGCAUGACAGUGUUCUUUCUUUGGAGAAGCGGCGUCUCGGAGAGAAGGAUGUGGCAUACCCGGUUUUCGCGGCCAAGGUGCCAGAGGGCAAGGGCUUUGUGGAUAACUCCAUCGGGGGUACGAUCGUCCUGCGGUUUGAUGACAUCCACGCUAUGUUGAACCUUCAUCCGCUGCACUACACCUUCCUUCGGCUAUUUUCGCUGAGUAUGGAGAUGCGGAUCAUUCGCGACAAGACCCCGGACAUCAUGAUAGUCGACCCCUUCUACAUGCGUGCCAAGAUCUUGGGCAGCGCUGGGGACCGGCAAGUCGCGACUUCUUACCUCGAAGGCGUCAUUCUGGCAAACCAAGAUAAAGAUAACUUCCUCGUGCCUUACUUUCCCGAGUAA
rnacentral:rRNA from 1 species